GUGGGGAAUAUUGCACAAUGGGGGGAACCCUGAUGCAGCAACGCCGCGUGCGGGAUGACGGCCUUCGGGUUGUAAACCGCUUUCAUCCAUGACGAAGCGAAAGUGACGGUAGUGGGAGAAGAAGCACCGGCUAACUACGUGCCAGCAGCCGCGGUGAUACGUAGGGUGCGAGCGUUGUUCGGAAUUAUUGGGCGUAAAGAGCUUGUAGGCGGUUGAUUGCGUCGGCAGUGUAAUCCCGAGGCUUAACUUCGGGCUUGCUGUCGAUACGGGUUGACUUGAGGGAUGUAGGGGAGAAUGGAAUUCCCGGUGGAGCGGUGGAAUGCGCAGAUAUCGGGAGGAACACCAGUGGCGAAGGCGGUUCUCUGGACAUUUCCUGACGCUGAGAAGCGAAAGCGUGGGGAGCAAACAGGCUUAGAUACCCCUGUAGUCC
rnacentral:rRNA from 1 species